AUGAACGCUGGCGGCGUGCCUAAUACAUGCAAGUCGAGCGAACAGACGAGGAGCUUGCUCCUCUGACGUUAGCGGCGGACGGGUGAGUAACACGUGGAUAACCUACCUAUAAGACUGGGAUAACUUCGGGAAACCGGAGCUAAUACCGGAUAAUAUAUUGAACCGCAUGGUUCAAUAGUGAAAGACGGUUUUGCUAUCACUUAUAGAUGGAUCCGCGCCGCAUUAGCUAGUUGGUAAGGUAACGGCUUACCAAGGCGACGAUGCGUAGCCGACCUGAGAGGGUGAUCGGCCACACUGGAACUGAGACACGGUCCAGACUCCUACGGGAGGCAGCAGUAGGGAAUCUUCCGCAAUGGGCGAAAGCCUGACGGAGCAACGCCGCGUGAGUGAUGAAGGUCCUCGGAUCGUAAAACUCUGUUAUUAGGGAAGAACAAAUGUGUAAGUAACUAUGCACGUCUUGACGGUACCUAAUCAGAAAGCCACGGCUAACUACGU
rnacentral:rRNA from 1 species